AUUGAACGCUGGCGGCAGGCCUAACACAUGCAAGUCGAACGAGUGGCGGACGGGUGAGUAAUGUCUGGGAAACUGCCUGAUGGAGGGGGAUAACUAAUGGAAACGGUAGCUACUACCGCAUUCAGUCGGCUGUGCCCAGUUGGGAUUAGCUAGUAGGUGGGGUAAAGGCUCACCUAGGCGACGAUCCCUAGCUGGUCUGAGAGGAUGACCAGCCACACUGGAACUGAGACACGGUCCAGACUCCGACGGGAGGCAGCAGUGGGGAAUAUUGCACAAUGGGCGCAAGCCUGAUACAGCCAUGCCGCGUGUAUGAAGAAGGCCUUCGGGUUGUAAAGUACUUUCAGCGGGGAGGCGUUACCCGCAGAAUAAGCACCGGCUAACUCCGUGCCAGCAGCCGCGGUAAUAC
rnacentral:rRNA from 1 species